GCGAAAGCGUGGGGAGCAAACAGGAUUAGAUACCCUGGUAGCCCACGCUGUAACGAUGUCGAUUUGGAGUUUGUUGCCUAGAGUGAUGGGCUCCGAAGCUAACGCGAUAAAUCGACCGCCUGGGGAGUACGGCCGCAAGGUUAAAACUCAAAUGAAUUGACGGGGGCCCGCACAAGCGGUGGAGCAUGUGGUUUAAUUCGAUGCAACGCGAAGAACCUUACCUGGUCUUGACAUCCAUAGAAUUCUGCAGAGAUGUGGGAGUGCCUUCGGGAACUAUGAGACAGGUGCUGCAUGGCUGUCGUCAGCUCGUGUUGUGAAAUGUUGGGUUAAGUCCCGCAACGAGCGCAACCCUUAUUCUUUGUUGCCAGCGAUUUGGUCGGGAACUCAAAGGAGACUGCCGUUGAUAAAGCGGAGGAAGGUGGGGACGACGUCAAGUCAUCAUGGCCCUUACGACCAGGGCUACACACGUGCUACAAUGGCGUAUACAAAGGGAAGCGAAGGUGCGAGCUGGAGCGGAUCUCAUAAAGUACGUCUAAGUUCGGAUUGGAGUCUGCAACUCGACUCCAUGAAGUCGGAAUCGCUAGUAAUCGUAGAUCAGAAUGCUACGGUGAAUACGUUCCCGGGCCUUGUACACACCGCCCGUCACACCAUGGGAGUGGGUUGCACCAGAAGUAGAUAGCUUAACCGCGAGGGGGGCGUUUACCACGGUGUGAUUCAUGACUGGGGUGAAGUCGUAACAAGGUAACCA
rnacentral:rRNA from 1 species